CUUGUUGUUCUUUUGUUGUCAGGAACAUAAGAUCAAUUAAAAUUCAUCUUACAUUUGGUAUCAGAGCCUUACUACCUCUGCCUUGUUCAUUGUCCAGUUUUCAAUUUCGGUACCUUUUGAAGAUUUCAUUUUGAUUUAAGUUUAAGAAUUAUUAUUGCAAAAUAGUAUGAGAAAUCUUCGUUUCAUUGAGUUUCUAAGCUUUCUGUUGUUUGAAUCAAUCAAAUUAGUGCGUGCCCAGAAUAUAAGAACUGUUUUCAAGUUUGAGAUUUUAAGUUUUGGGUAUUUUGUUUUAAAACCUUUUAGUCAAAAUUAAAAUCACAAUUGUGUUGGAAAUAAUUUGUAAGGAUUUUCUGGGUUAAUUAUUGUUAUUUCCAUGUUUUAAUUGACCGGAAACCGUCGGAUUUCAAUUCGGAUCGCGGGUAAUAAAAUUGGGUCAAACUGAUCUGCUCAAGGUUGAAGAUGAACAAUGCUUUUAUCUUGCAUUAUGAUGUCGUUUUUUUUUAACUAAUGAAGUAGUGUUUAAACUAAUUCUAAAAUCUGCUAUAAGAGAAAUUCCUCUGGUUUUGAUUUCCUACAGAAUUCUGAAGCAGUAUGUAUAAUAUUGGUGAUUAGUGCUUCUGAAAAUGGGUUUUGUUUAUGAUAAUCUUGAAAAGUCCCAUUUUCAGAUUUUGGCAUACUUGUAGAAUGUUAACACUCUAUCUUGAUGAUUAAAUAACGAUCCGACAGAUGAGCUUUUGAGUCUAAGGGACUCGAACACAGGUCCAUUCAGUAAAAGGAUUAGCAUCAUGACCACUGCGGCAGGUAACAAAUUCUGGUAUAUUGUUGUGUUGCGGUUUUAUAUU
rnacentral:lncRNA from 1 species